ACUAACUAAUUAUAUUUUUAAUAUACCUUCAAUAUUUCUGGUGAAUUCUAAUAGAAAUAUUUGAUAAUUAUUUACUUGUACUGAUCUGUUUUAGAAACUAAAAUUAUUAAGUAUUUCCAACCAAUUUUCCUAAAUAAAGUUCCAACUUAAUAAAUGACAGUUUAAAUAAAUUGAGUAAAUUUCGCGGCUAAAGUGAUCACGUGUGCAGCUCCGCAGGAAAAAAAAAAAUCUGCUUUCCUCAGCAGCGACGUCGACUAGCCAUACACCUCACAGCUCCUGGUAAGUAACGUUAGUCAGCUAAUCCUACUUACGUUUGUAACACUUUAUUAAAAAGUUAAUAAUUAUUAAGCAUUUUCUAACAAUUGUCUUUGUAUUUUACGUCAUAUUCAACAAGUUUCGUAGCUUAAUCGAAGUCACCUGAAGGACGGCUUUCCUCAGCAACGGCAAGACCCGCACUCCUCUCAUAUUGUGAAGUUUAACAAGUUUCGCGGCUCAAACAAGAGGCACCUGUCACUGAAGGACUGCUUUUCUCAGCAACGACGUGAACAGCAUUACUCGAAUUUCCUGGUUCAGCUGAUCUACCCGUCUUCGUACAAGCAGAGUUGGC